CAAUAGCAUAUAUUAACGUUGUUGCAGUUGAAAAGCUCGUAGUUGAACUUUUGGUAGGAGCGACCUGGCCUUGGGCGCAUGCCCUUGUUUGCCGUGUGUCGUAUCUGGCCAUCCUUUUCCGUUUCGGCGGGAAUCUUUUACUGUGAGUAAACUGGAGUGCUCAAAACAAGACGUUUGUUUGGUACAUUAAAGCAUGGAAUAAUAAGAUAGGACCUGGUUACUAUUUUGUUGGUUUGCAUAGCUAGGUAAUGAUUAACAGGGACAGUUGGGGGUAUUCGUAUUUAAUUGUCAGAGGUGAAAUUCUUGGAUUUAUGAAAGGCGAACGACUGCGAAAGCAUUUACCAAGGAUGUUUUCAUUAA
rnacentral:rRNA from 1 species